rnacentral:rRNA from 1 species
CAUGGCUCAGGAUGAACGCUAGCGGGAGGCCUAACACAUGCAAGCUGAGCGGGAUUUGUUGGUUAGCUUGCUAACUAAUAAUGAGAGCGGCGUACGGGUGCGUAACAUGUGUGCAAUCUGCCCUUAUCAAGGGGAUAGCCCGGAGAAAUCCGGAUUAAUACCCUAUAAUAUAUGGAAUGGCAUCAUAUCAUAUUGAAAGCAUUAGCGGAUGAGGAUGAGCACGCACAAGAUUAGCUAGUUGGUAAGGUAACGGCUUACCAAGGCGAUGAUCUUUAGGGGUCCUGAGAGGGAGAUCCCCCACACUGGGACUGAGACACGGCCCAGACUCCUACGG